AUGUCUUCGGAUGUUUGAGACCGGCGCACGGGUGCGUAACGCGUAUGCAACCUACCUCUUACUGGGGAAUAGCCCGAAGAAAUUCGGAUUAAUACCGCAUACGCCCCACGGGGGAAAGGCCGGGAUCUUCGGACCGGUCACUAUUGGAUGAGCCUGCGUAGGAUUAGCUAGUUGGUGAGGUAAAGGCUCACCAAGGCGACGAUCCUUAGCUGGUCUGAGAGGACGAUCAGCCACACUGGAACUGAGACACGGUCCAGACUCC
rnacentral:rRNA from 1 species